rnacentral:rRNA from 1 species
UGGGGAAUAUUGGGCAAUGGAGGAAACUCUGACCCAGCGACGCCGCGUGCGGGAUGAAGGCCUUCGGGUUGUAAACCGCUUUCAGUAGGGAAGAAGCGAAAGUGACGGUACUUGAGGAAUAAGCAUCGGCUAACUCUGUGCCAGCAGCCGCGGUAAUACAGAGGAUGCAAGCGUUAUCCGGAAUCACUGGGCAUAAAGCGUCUGUAGGUGGUUUGGUAGGUCUGUUGUUAACGACUGGGGCUCAACCCC